UACGUAGGGUGCAAGCGUUAAUCGGAAUUACUGGGCGUAAAGCGUGCGCAGGCGGUUUGGCAAGAAAGGUGUGAAAUCCCGGGGCUUAACCUCGGAACUGCACUUUUAACUGCCAGGCUAGAGUACGUCAGAGGGGGGUAGAAUUCCACGUGUAGCAGUGAAAUGCGUAGAGAUGUGGAGGAAUACCGAUGGCGAAGGCAGCCCCCUGGGAUGAUACUGACGCUCAUGCACGAAAGCGUGGGGAGCAAACAGGAUUAGAUACCCUGGUAGUCCACGCCCUAAACGAUGUCAACUAGCUGUUGGGGUUUAUUAACCUUGGUAGCGCAGCCAACGCGUGAAGUUGACCGCCUGGGGAGUACGGUCGCAAGAUUAAA
rnacentral:rRNA from 1 species